rnacentral:rRNA from 1 species
AACGAACGCUGGCGGCAGGCUUAACACAUGCAAGUCGAACGCAUCGCAAGAUGAGUGGCAGACGGGUGAGUAACGCGUGGGAACAUACCCUUUUCUACGGAAUAGCUCUGGGAAACUGGAAUUAAUACCGUAUACGCCCUACGGGGGAAAGAUUUAUGGGGGAAGGGUUGGCCCGCGUUGGAUUAGCUAGUUGGUGGGGUAAAGGCCUAGCAAGGCGACGAUCCAUAGCUGGUCUGAGAGGAUGAUCAGCCACAUUGGGACUGAGACACGGCCCAAACUCCUACGGGAGGCAGCAGUGGGGAAUAUUGGACAAUGGGCGCAAGCCUGAUCCAGCCAUACCGCGUGAGUGAUGAAGGCCUUAGGGUUGUAAAGCUCUUUCACCGAUGAAGAUAAUGACGGUAGUCGGAGAAGAAGCCCCGGCUAACUUCGUGCCAGCCGCCGCUGUAAUAC